UUAGUUGCCAGCACGUCAUGGUGGGAACUCUAAGGAGACUGCCUAUGUUAAGUAGGAGGAAGGUGGGGAUGACGUCAAGUCCUCAUGGCCCUUACGCCCGGGGCUGGAAACGUGCUACAAUGGCCGGUACAAAGGGCUGCAAUACCGUGAGGUGGAGCUAAUCCCAAAAAACCGGUCUCAGUUGGGAUUGGAGUCUGCAACUCGACUCCAUGAACGCGGAAUCGCUAGUAAUCGUGGAUCAGCAUGCCACGGUGAAUACGUUCCCGGGUCUUGUACACA
rnacentral:rRNA from 1 species